UUUUUUUUAAGAAUGAAAAGGAAACUGGCCUUUGAAUGAAAAUGAAAAGCUUUUCCCUUUCUCAAUGAAAAUCUUCUGUUAAUGUUUUCAAGCUUAAAUAUGAGUAAAACUUCUGUAUUCACUUUCUACUUUCAUGGGGUUUUAGUUGGAGACCAAGCUAGUAUAAGCUUUAUUAUGUUAUAAAGUGCAUCUUAAAUGUAAUGCAACUAGACUUUAAGCAAAGUACCACGUUUACAUCAUUCUCCCCCAUUGGCCAGGUAGCCAGCUCAGUCUGUGAAUCCCAUCUCCCCAUAUUUCUUCCCAUGAGAAAAUCCUGGUUUUUCCUAAAAUCCAAUCUUUCUUAAGGAUCUGUGACUAAUACUGUGUCUGCAUUUUUCUAUACAUUUCUACUUUUAAUCAUAUGAUCUACCCCUUUCCCAGAUUAAAACCCUAGGAAGUUUCCCUGUGUUAAUUCCACUUUAUACUAGUUGGUUCUUUAAAUAUGUUGUUAGCUACCAUGGAGUCAGUUCCAGCUCACAGAGACCCUAUGCACAGCAGAACAAAACGUUGCCAGGUCCUGGGUCAUCCUCGCAAUGGCCGACAUGUUUGAGUCCACUGUUGUGGCUACAGUGGCAAUUCCUCUCACUGAGGGUCUUCCUCACCCUCCUUGGCCAUCUCUUUCACCAAACAGGGUGUUCUCUUCUGACUGGUCCCUCCUUAUGAUGUUGCUAGUGAGUUGGACAAUGUCCUGUUGUGACCCUAAAGGUUUUCAUUGCUAACUUUUGGAAAUAGAUCACCAGGCCUGUUUCCUAGACUGUCUAGUCUAGAAGGAAGCUCUGUUGGAACAUGGUUGGCCAUGGGUGAUCCUGCUGGCUUUCGAAAUACUAGUGGCAUAGCUUCCAGCAUCGCAGCAACACGCAAACCACCACAGUAUGACAGACUGGUGGUACUUUAAAUGUACUGUGUAUAUUUCAAGAUUCAGUUUGUAUUACCCUGAAUAAAGCUUGUUAUAAUAAACACCAUUAAACUGAAAAUCUCAGGACUUGCCUACUAUUAAUAUGGUCCAUGGACAAUAAUAAUGGGCUGGUAUUUUUCUGUGUACAGAAUAAUCUACAACUGAAGCAAUUUUUGAUGGAUGGGUUAUUUUAUCUAGAUUUUUGAACUCUUCCAUUUAUUCUGUAAAAUUUAAAUUUAGGCAAUUCUAUUCUUUUACUAUUAAGAUAUUGGGACCAUGUAGACAGCAAAUAUGUUUGAAGGAAAAAAGAGACUAAAUUGUUGUCAAUUCCCACUCCAUCCUAGUUCAAUCUCAACCAUUCCAAGUGAACAUUUCUGGAGGCUUCCCUACCUCUCUCCUUUCUCUAGUGAAAGUACUUCUGCAGUGUGGCAAUAGCUCUUUUGUAGUUAUGAUCUAGGGAUUGGAAACCUAGGUAGCAUAGUGGUUAAGAGCUAUGGCUGCUAACAAAGAGGUUGGCAGUUCAAAUUCACCAGGUGCUCUUUGGAAACUCUAUGGGGCAGCUCUACUCUGUUCUAUAGGGUCACUAUAGGGCCACUAUGAGUCGGAGUAGACUCGGCAGCAACGGGUUUGGUUUUUGGUAUCUAGGAAUUGGGAAUGGGACUUUCAGAAUGGUGGAUGAGGAGCACAGCACCAUCCUAUUUCUUAAAAGCAGUGAUACAACUGGACAGUACUACCAAAAACAACUCUGUCAGGAAUCUGGAAAUCUACCAAAGAUACACAAAAAAUUGAUAAGCACUUAUUUAAGAACCUUGGAGCCCUUGUGGUGCAAUGUGGUGGUGCAGUGGUUAAGAGCUCAGUUGCUAACCAAAAGGUCAGCAGUUUGAAUCCAUUAGCUGUUCUUGGAAACACCAAGUGGCAGUUCUACUCUGUUCUAUAGGGUCGUUAUGAGUCGAAUCGCCUCAUCGGCAAUGAGUUUGGUCUUGGUUGGUUUAUUUAAGAACCUUGGAUAUGAACAAUGACAGUUUGUUCUGUGUUAAUCUGAAUUGCUCCCAUUUCACCUCUCUCAGCUCCAACCGUGUAAUCACGUGGUCGUUUGACUAGGGUGCGGCAAACCAUGAAAAACAGGACUUGAUUUGGAGCAACGAUGUGAGUGGGGAACGCCAUGACCUCAGGACUCAGCAUUGUAUCUCAGGUGAAACUUUGAAGAUUAAAUCUAGACACAGUUGGUUUGUACAUCCAUAGUAACGGGAAGACAGUAAACUUUACCCUGUCCAGGAUGUAAUUUUAUGAGACUUACGAAGCCAAGAGAUCCUCCAAGGUCAUGUAAGUAACUU